AGAAUCAACGCUGGCGGCGCGCCUAACACAUGCAAGUCGAACGAGAAAGUGGAGCAAUCCAUGAGUACAGUGGCGUACGGGUGAGUAACACGUGGGUGAUCUACCUUUUAGUGAGGAAUAACCAAGGGAAACUUUGGCUAAUACCGCAUAAGCCUGAGAAGGGAAAGCAGAAAUGCGCUGAAAGAGGAGCCCGCGGCCGAUUAGCUAGUUGGUGAGGUAAGAGCCCACCAAGGCAGAGAUCGGUA
rnacentral:rRNA from 1 species